CACUGUUGUAGUGGGGAAAGCACUGGCAGGGGGAGAGGGGGAGUGCAGUAGAGGGCAGGUGGUCCUUUAUCUUUUAAUGUAAAGGACAGAUUUGUGUUUUGUAUCUAACCUAUUUAGAAUUCGGUUAAGAAAACUUCAAAUUAGAUGUGGAAUGAAGGUGAGGAGGACCCUAGCCAAAAAUGGUCAUCAUAGCAAUGUGAGAUGAAUUUUAUAACACCAAUUAUACUUAUUGUUCUAUGUACUCUAGAAAUGAGCAAAUAAUUUGCAAUGAAUAAUUUAUAUUAUUAAUUUGGCCUUCCUUUUUGUCUGUAUAAUAUCUGACACAUCUUGCAGUAUCUUCAUAUAUUCACUUUUCCACUGUGCCCGGCAACUUCCUUUUCAAAUGGAUUGAGUCUUAGCUUUCAAAGUAGUAUGGCCAUAACUGGCAGAAUGAUAGAAAAUUGGAGAUGGCCUGAUUCCAGGGUUCCCCUGACCUUUGAAUGGGGGUUGCAAUUAUUUGUGUUACCUCAGAAACAGAUCAAGGACCAAAUUCUGAUUCAGAAACUCAGUCCAGUCCUUUCUUCCAAUUAGUCUCAUGGGAAAAUAAUAAAAAUGCCCUUGGCAUAGUAAGCAUGGAGGCUGGGGUGGCGUGGGUGCUAAGGUGCACAGUUAAUAGCCCAGAGGUUGCAAAUUCGAGGUCGUAGCAGAAGCUUGCGCCCAGCUGUGUGGCCCUGUCAGAUUCUAAUGAAAUCUGAACGUUCUGCUAGAUACCCUGUCAUAAGGACGGAAAGAAGGUUGUAAGCAUUCACAUUGUCUCAGUGUGUUUCAGGAUUUUGCAAAGGGAGGUGCAGGAGCAGUGACUGACACAGCAGGGGAAGAUAGCUGCACCCUUCCCAGCUUCCCCUGACCACCACUGGGAUGGGCAGACCACAAUCCAGAAGCAGCAGUUGAGGACUUUUAUUAAUAAUCCUGGAUCAGGGCCAUGCACCCAAGGAAGAAGCACCCUGGGAGGUGCCCUCCACUGCAGGUGGCAGACGGUCACCUCCAGAGCCAGGGCUGCUCACAGCAAAGCAGUACCAGUUCCUCCAGUGUGGCUGGAGAACAGGUACGAGGCCCUGGCGACACUGCAGGAGAAAGAAGGAGAGGAGGAAACCUCUGGAGAGGAGACAACUCCACACUCUCCACACUCUGAACAGGCUGAAGGAGCUGAGUAGACCCAGAGGAGGAAAUGUCAAGUGAUCAUCAUAGGUGACUCCAUCCUGAGAGGUACAGAGGGUCCCAUCUGUCACCAGGACCCCUCAACACGUGAGGUCUACUGCCUGCCCAGAGCGAAGAUUCAGGAUGUGACGGGGAUGAUCCAGGCCAUGAUCCGGCCCACCAAUUCAUGGUCCUAAGCCAUGUGGGCACUGAUGAUGUGGCCAGGAGAAGCCCUGAUCACCUGAUGAUGGACUACCACAGUCUGGGGGGGCAUGCUGAGGGAGAUAAGGGCACAGGUGGUAUUCUCUUCUGUUCUACCAGUGAGCAGAUGUAGAAGGAGACAUGAGACCUGCAUCAGAAAGAUCAACUGGAGACUUCAGGAAUAGUGUCUUGAGGCAGGCUUCAGCUUCCUAGACAACAACCCUCACAUCAGGACGAGAGACAUGCUCAGGUGCGAUGGGCUUCACCUUUCCUCAAAAGGUAAAUGUGUUCUCUUCUAGGUUGGCGGAUCUCCUCUGGCGGGCUUUAAGCUAGGCUUACUGGAGGAAGGGGAAGACAAGGGUGGAGGAAGCCUUGGACCACUAAACCAAGCGUCACCCACAAGAACAGCCUGGCCUAGGCUGACGAUGAGCAGAACAAAUACCCAGGCUGCAAGUGUCAUCUGUUCCUUCUUAAUACCUGUCCUUCUAGUGUGACUACUUGAUAGGAUCCAGCAGCUACUUGAUGGGAAACUAGUGCCUUCUGUUUCCACAUUUAUUCAUCUGAAAUAAGCAACAUAUCUUUGUUGUGCAGUUGUGAGAGCCUUCUUAGCCUACUGAUCUGCUGUUCCCUCCUGCAAUCCCUGAGCCAAUGUAACAACAUAUGUAUAACACCCUUAAAGUUCUGUUUCCUGGAUCCUGACCCUGGUUUGGCUCUGGUUUGGACUUCUCCCUGUGGAUUGUUCUCUGAAUUGGUACUCAGCAUCUCAUCCCCAGAUCCUGACCGUGGGCUGAGUUGUGGACUGUGCUUCUGGAUCUUCCUCUA